UACGGGGGGGGUAAGCGUUGUUCGGAAUUACUGGGCGUAAAGGGCUCGUAGGCGGCCAACUAAGUCGGACGUGAAAUCCCUCAGCUUAACUGGGGAACUGCGUCCGAUACUGGAUGGCUUGGAUUUGGGAGAGGGAUGCGGAAUUCCAGGUGUAGCGGUGAAAUGCGUAGAUAUCGGGAGGAACAUCAGUGGCGAAGGCGGCCCUCUGGUCCAGUACUGACACUCAAGUGCGAAAGCGUGGGGAGCAAACAGG
rnacentral:rRNA from 1 species